AAAUCAAAACUGAAGUCUAAAAAUUGUUCAGGUAAUGCACAGGAAAGCAGGAGACAUAAACAAGGAAUAUUGGUCUGUAGUUUUCUUUUUGUGUUUUAUCUUUGUUUUUGGUAUCAGGGUAGCAAAACGGCUGGUUGAAAGUAACACAAGUUUCUUCAACUGAAAAAGUGAAGGAAUAACAGGACCUACUUCAGAGGGAUGACUGUGGGGCUUAAGCUGUGCCCUGCGACAUGUGGGAUCUUAGUUCUCUGACCAGGGAUCGAACCCGCACCCCCUGAGGUGGACAUGAGGAGUCUUAACCACUGGACCACCAGGGAAGUCCCACAACACAUGAAUUUUUUCAACCCACAACAGGAACCCAGCCUACACUGGAUCCCUGGCUGGCACAGCCUCACCUACACGGCCACCCUCCUGAGGAACACAUUCUUCCCUGAGAGGGGAUGAGUGUAAAAGGACCAUCUUGUCAGACUCGGAGAAAGAGAGGGGCUGGCAUCUUGAGGUCUUUUUAACCCAAACUCCUGCUGCGAACUCAUCCCAAUUCUCCCCACGUCUGCUCCAGGGCCUCAUUCCAUCCACCCUCUCCAUGUAAUUCCCACGUUCUCUCCGAUCCAGGUUUGAUCAACAGAAUGUUAUAAACAAGUCCCAGAAAAAAGGAAAAUCAGCAUCUCCUCAGGGCAGCCACUGUCUAAUUGGCAAGUUGUUCUCUAGUCAAUAUUUUUGUUUUCUUGAUUUUUAUAUAGAUAAAGAAUUAAGCUAA